CCUACGGGAGGCAGCAGUGGGGAAUAUUGCGCAAUGGGCGAAAGCCUGACGCAGCGACGCCGCGUGAGGGAUGAAGGUCUUCGGAUCGUAAACCUCUGUCAGCCGGGAAGCACGCUCCCUCUGCUAAUCCGCCCUGAAUUUCCCCUACCUGCAAAGACAGCACCGCCUAACUCCGUCCCAGCCGCCGCUGUAAUACGGAGGGUGCGAGCGUUAAUCGGAAUUACUGGGCGUAAAGCGCUCGUAGGCGGGAUGUCAAGUCAAGGGUGAAAUCCCCGCGCUCAACGUGGGAACUGCCGUUGAAACGGGCAAACUGGAGUGUGUGAGAGGAUAGUGGAAUUCGAGGUGUAGGAGUGAAAUGCGUAGAUAUCUGGAGGAACAUCAGUGGCGAAGGCGACGAACUGGCACAUAACUGACGCUGAGGAGCGAAAGCGUGGGUAGCAAACAGGAUUAGAUACCCGGGUAGUC
rnacentral:rRNA from 1 species